GCCGGGGUGGCGAAAUUGGCAAACGCGCGAGACUUAAAAUCUUGUGCUCGAAAGGGCUUGCGGGUUCGAUUCCCGCCCCCGGCA
rnacentral:tRNA from 1 species